UUGUGGUUAAAAAGCUCGUAGUUGGAUCUCAACAGCCUUGAAGCGGUUAACUUUGUAGUUUUACUGCUUUAUAGGCUGUGCUUUUGCUGGAGGUUUAGGGGUGCUCUUGAUCGAGUGUCUCUGGAUGCCAGCAGGUUUACUUUGAAAAAAUUAGAGUGCUCAAAGCAGGCUAAAAUGCCUGAAUAUUCGUGCAUGGAAUAAUAGAAUAGGAUGUCGAUCCUAUUUUGUUGGUUUUCGGGACUCGACAUAAUGAUAAAUAGGGACAGUCGGGGGCAUUUGUAUUCAAACGACAGAGGUGAAAUUCUUGGACCGUUUGAAGACAAACUACUGCGAAAGCAUUUGCCAAGAAUGUUUUCAUUAAUCAAGAACGAAAGUUAGAGGUUCGAAGGCGAUUAGAUACCGCCCUAGUUCUAACCAUAAACGAUGCCAGCUAGCGAUCUGCCUGCGUUUUUACUGUAGACUGGGCAGGAAGCUUCCGGGAAACCAAAGCAUUUGGGUUCCAGGGGAAGUAUGGUUGCAAAGCUGAAACUUAAAGGAAUUGACGGAAGGGCACCACCAGGAGUGGAGCCUGCGGCUUAAUUUGACUCAACACGGGAAAUCUCACC
rnacentral:rRNA from 1 species